CUUUAACAAUCUGGAACAAGCUGAAAAAUUGAAAACAAAUCAAUAUAUCACCGAGGUAUAUUGAUGAGUCUCUCAAAAUCUCAAACUUUGAAUGUGUUUUUCGACAUCGAAGU
rnacentral:sRNA from 13 species